rnacentral:rRNA from 1 species
AUGGCAACGGUGCUGGCGGCGGAGGCCAUGGACGUCGAGGCACCGGCGCGUCCCCCCAGCGCCACCACCGCGCCAAAGCCACGCUCCCUUCACGACCUCCUCGCCGAGACCCGCGCCUCCGUCGAGGAGGUCGCCGCCCGCAUACUCGCCAUCAAGAAGGACGGCGCCCCCAAGUCCGAGCUCCGCGAGCUCGUCGCGCAGAUGUCCCUCCUCCUCAUCACGCUCCGCCAGGUGAACAGGGAGAUACUGAUGGAGGAGGAUAAGGUGAAGGGGGAGACGGAGGCGGCGAAGGCGCCCGUGGACUCCACCACGCUGAGGCUGCACAACCUGCUGUACGAGAAGAACCACUACGUCAAGGCCAUCAGGUCGUGCCUCGACUUCCAGACGAAGCACCCGGGGAUAGACCUCGUCCCCGAGGAGGAGUUCCACCGCACCGCGCCGGCUGACAUCCGUGACAAGACUCUCGCGGCGGACACCGCCCACGACCUCAUGCUCAAGCGCCUCAACUUCGAGCUCGUCCAGCGUAAAGAGCUAUGUGAGCGACAUGAGAAAUUGGAACAACAGAAGAACAGUUUGCUGGGGACAAUUGCAAAUCAGAAGAAGUUCCUUUCAAGCCUCCCAUCGCAUUUGAAAUCACUGAAGAAAGCAUCUUUGCCAGUGCAGCAGCAGCUUGGGAUGCUGCAUACUAAGAAAUUAAAGCAGCACCAUGCAGCUGAGUUGCUCCCAUCUCCUCUUUAUAUAACUUACACCCAGUUGUUAGGACAGAAAGAAGCAUUUGGCGAGAAUAUUGAAGUGGAGGUAAAUGGAAGCACAAAGGACGCUCAAACUUUUGCUCAACAGCAAGCCAAACAGGAAAUGGCAGGUACUUUGGCAAAUGAUGAUAGUAAUAGGAUGGACGAUGAUGCAAUUGAUGAGGAAGAAGAUGCUCAGAGAAGAAGAUCAAGGUCUAGGAAGAGUUCAAAGGAAGCUAGUAAUCCUGCAUUAGCAUAUCAACUUCAUCCACUCAAAGUUGUUCUCCAUGUAUAUGAUACUGAAGAUCCUGGAACCAAGCGUCGUAAGCUCAUCACUUUGAGGUUUGAAUACUUGGCAAAGUUGAAUGUUGUCUGUGUUGGAUCUGAAGAUUCAGAUGGAAUGGACAGCAAUAUCCUGUGCAACCUAUUUCCAGAUGACACCGGCUUAGAGCUGCCUCAUCAGAUGGCUAAGCUUUAUGCUGGGGAGACUCCAAAUUUUAGUGAAAAGGAUUCGCGUCCGUACAAGUGGGCACAGCAUCUAGCUGGUAUAGACUUCCUCCCGGAGGUUCCUCAAUCUGUUGGGGAUAGUUCUAACAGAGCGUCGAGAAAUGCUGAUUUGUCAUCUGGGCUUGCACUAUACCGUCAGCAGAAUCGUGCACAGACUAUUUUGCAGAGAAUCCGCUCUCGGAAAAUUGCACAAAUGGCUCUCACGUGGCAACUUAGUUAUUUAACUAAGCUGAGGUGGCCUCACAUAGAACACGAGAAUACACCAUGGGCAUCACGCACCCCAUCGUGUAGUAUGCACAGUUGGUCAUUGACAGGAGUUUUUCCUGAGCCUUCGGCUCGUUCUGCUUUAGUGGUGAGUGGGCCUGCAGGAAGUGUUGACAGUGAUUUGGAGAGAAGAUCUGUGACAAAUGGGCAAGAAACCGAGGGUAACAGAGAGGAUGGUGAGCUUCCAAUUGUGGUUCACUCUGAAGAUAUGCCAGAUGAUUCUAAAGUAUCACAGGCAGAGGUCUCACCUGAAGUUCUAAACCAUUCUAGAGGCUUAUCUCUUAUAUCAAAGGGCUCUGCACCAUCUAAGCUAAGCAUCUCACACAGUUUUGGUAGAAAUGAGGAUGAUCUUGAUUUCUUAAUGGACAGUGACAGUGAGUUGGAGGAGCUGGCAUGUGCUGACCAAGAAACUGAGCAAGGUAGCCUCACUAUAGAUAAAUCCUGGGAGGAUUAUGCUUCCAGAGAGUUCACCAUGGUCUUGAGUAAAACUUUGAAGAAUGGUUCAAAAGUCAUGCUGGAAGCCAAGAUUAAAAUUAGCAUGGAGUAUCCUCUUAGGCCACCACUUUUCAGAUUGCAGCUGGUUUCUGAAAAGACCGGAGAUUUGAAAUGGCACAAUGAUCUUCGUGCAAUGGAAGCUGAGGUGAAUCUUCACAUCCUCCGAAUUCUUCCUCGGUCGUACGAGGACUAUAUAUUAACCCACCAAGUUCUGUGCCUGGCUAUGUUAUUUGAUAUGCAUUUGGACGAGGAUCACGAGAAAAGGAAAGUUACUUCAGUGAUUGAUGUCGGGCUCUGCAAACCAGUCAGUGGAACCAUGCUCACUAGAUCGGUCAGGGGGAGAGACCGCAGACAGACCAUCUAUUGGCGAGGUGACGUUUGCUCUAGUUAUUUGUGA